rnacentral:rRNA from 1 species
AAGUGGUGGAAGCUCAAGGGGGAGGUAGCUCAUGUGUUCAAGGAGAGGGUAUUUAAGGAGGGCCCUUGGGAGGAAGGAGGGGAUGCGGACAAUGUGUGGAUGAAGAUGGCGACUUGCAUUCGUAAGGUGGCCUCGGAGGAGUUUGGAGUGUCCAGGGGAAGGAGAAGCGAAGAUAAGGAUACCUGGUGGUGGAAUGAUGAUGUCCAGAAGGCGCUUAAAGAGAAGAAAGAUUGCUUCAGACGCCUAUACCUAGAUAGGAGUGCAGACAACAUAGAGAAGUACAAGAUGGCGAAGAAGGCCGCAAAGCGAGCUGUUGGUGAAGCAAGGGGUCGGGCAUAUGAGGACCUCUACCAACGGUUAGGCACAAAGGAAGGUGAAAGGGACAUCUAUAAGAUGGCUAAGAUCCGGGAGAGGAAGACGAGGGAUAUUGGCCAAGUCAAAUGCAUCAAGGACGGAGCAGGCCAACUCUUGGUGAAGGACGAAGAGAUUAAGCAUAGAUGGCGGGAGUACUUCGACAAGCUGUUCAAUGGGGAGAAUGAGAGUUCUACCAUUGAACUGAAUGGCUCCUUUGAUGAGACCAGCAUGCAUUUUGUGCGGCGCAUCCAGGAGUCUGAGGUGAAGGAGGCUUUAAAAAGGAUGAAAGGAGGCAAGGCG